CAGCCUAGCUCAAUAAGACAAUAAGUCUGUAAUCAAAGGACCUGAGUUCAAAUUCCACUUCAUUUUUUUAAUAGUGUUCCUAACCUGGGGACAUCGCAUCAAUCCUGCUAUGAGCUUUCUUCUAGUGCUGGGAACCGGAGACUAGGAAUCACCGACUUUCAGAGCACAAAGGUUUCUUUGUAGUGGCCAGAAACUGGAAACUGAGUGAAUGCCC
rnacentral:lncRNA from 1 species